rnacentral:ncRNA from 1 species
AAAAAGAACCGCACAGCACAAGGCUUGCGGCGUUCAAUUAUCGGGGGCCGCUUGCGCAGCCCCCUUCAUGGGAGAGGAGAAACCGGAUGAAGAGCUUAUGGGGAAACGUAAGUCUUCUCCGCG